rnacentral:rRNA from 1 species
UACGUAGGGUGCGAGCGUUGUCCGGAAUUACUGGGCGUAAAGAGCUCGUAGGUGGUUUGUCACGUCGUCUGUGAAAUUCCGGGGCUUAACCUCGGGCGUGCAGGCGAUACGGGCAAUACUUGAGUGCUGUAGGGGAGACUGGAAUUCCUGGUGUAGCGGUGAAAUGCGUAGAUAUCGGGAGGAACACCGGUGGCGAAGGCGGCUUUCUGGCCAGUUACUGACGCUCAUGCGCGAGAGCUGGGUUAGCGAACCGGAUUAGAUACCCUGGUAGUCCCU